CCUCUGACAAAUAAGAAGUUCCCUCUGGUUUUUUCACGUGCCCUUUAACUCUUGAGCGAUUUGUUGGACGUAUGGGGCCGUGGAUGGAUGGAAAUCAAUCCAUUCCCUCCAUCUGUCCCUAAAUCGUUCAUCGAAGAUUUAGAGGAUUUGGAGAUUUUUAUAAGAAGGUUCGAGAUUUUUGAGGGGAUAGGAAGGUAAGGAUUUUCUCGUUUAGGGGGGGAUUUUUUUGAGAGUUCUUGAGUUUUUGGGGGUGAGAGUGCUCGAGGUUUUUCUUUUCAACCCUCUUCAGAAAAAGAAAAGAAAAAGCAAAAUAUAUAUAUAUAUAUAUAUAUAUAUAUACAAUCUGAGUUCGAUUUCAUUCAGGUUUUUACGGCAUUUCAAGGUUCAUCAACAAAAAUCACCAAAAAAGAUUUUGUCUUUUUGCAUUUCAUCUUUUUCCUGAUUUCUAGUCCUCAAUAAUGGAGUUUGAUUAAAGUUUGAGUUGGAAUUUGCGUUUAAGUUCUAAAUCUCGGUAUCGUUUCAAGUUUCUGUCUGAGCUUUUGAUUUCUACUCGUUUCUGUUGCUAAUUGCUGGUGUUAGCUAUUGGAUUUCACUUGUAUUCAACGUUCGAGCAAAGUUAAUCGGAAGUGUUUAUUAAUUCCAGGUUCAUUUAUUCUUCAUUAUUAUUUGUUUUUCCGUGAUUCUGUGUCGUGUGCUCAUGUUCCGUUAUGUUUUUAGUCUAAGACUACCUGAAAGUCAGUGUUUGUUGUUCAGAUUAAAGGCUGAGUUCUGUUGGCCUUGAUUUAGGUCUGUUUUUGUUUUUGUGUUUAUUCUAUAUUGAACGAGCGAUUGUACGCACUGAUAUAAUGGCUGCAAUUGUAUAAAUUCGCACACCCGUUUGUUAAAUUUGAGCAUUGAAACAAAUUCAUGAAACCUUAAGGGUGGAAGCCUUCUUGUUUGAUCAUUUCUGCUGGUUUAGCUGCAGUUUAAAUGCUAAAUGAUUGUUGGGCUUGGUUCCCUUGUGAAUUAGUGGAUCGACACGCAUUUAGCUUCAUCUAUAAGGCCAUAGAGAUUAAUGUUCACGUUUCCAGCAGUCAUUUCUGUCCUUAGGCUUCUUGAACAGAAUCAGACAUGAAAAUUGUGAAGUAUUAUGGCUUCCUAGUAGCUAUCAAAGUUGGUAUAUGUGGGAAUGAGUUUUGGAAAAGAAUUUUUGUUUGUGUGUGGAGUUUAAACUUGCAAUAAGCCAUGAGACUCCUUCUAAUCAUUGUCCAUUUCAUGGUCAAUUAGUUCGGCAGCUUAGGGAUAUUCAUUGAACUUCGAUUUGUUUGGUUUUCACUUGUAUGGUUGGGGCGUAACUAACUGCAUAUCAUCUGAGCAAGUUGUCAAUAAGCGGCGUGUUCAUGUGUUCGUAUCUUAAGUAUUCUGGACUGUAUCUGUUGGUUUUUUUUUCGAAUUCGAUCUUCGUUGGCCACGCAAUCUCAUCUGUUGUAGGUGUUGGAGUAUUUUGGCCUCUGAAAUCUUUUGAGCCAGGUAGUUUGAGCUAUGAGGGGCACUGUAUUGUCAUUAUUUCGCUGAUUCCGUGUAACUAGGCCUACCAGUUCUUCUUCAAUUCUAUUUGGUCCACUUCUUAUUUGUUUUGUUGUUGUCCGAAAUGUGUUUGCAGUUUAAUUCUAUUGCAGGAGAUUUUACUGCUAUGGAAUCUGCAUAUAUGUAUUCACUUCAAUACUCUGCCAAAGGAAUUGUGAACCAUUGUCGUGCUUUCUCUGAGUUGGUUGCGAGUCUUUUAAUUCCUUUGCUAAUGUAAGUUCACAUCCAGUGUUAAGAACCUUGUGUGCUAUUUUGUGUCAUCUAUUUGAGUUAUCUGUUGAGUUAAUUAGGAUAUAAAUCAGUACAAAUUCGUGAUAGUUUCAGCUCGACUGAACUAUUUGUUUAGUUGAAUUUAUUCAAUUGCCGUUUUAUUCCUUUCCAAUAAAUUUUGUUCCUGAAACACGUUAACAUCUUCGAUGAGGCUGUAAUUUGAUUCGAUCUUCAGAUUUUUGUUUUUCUCUUUGAUGGAUGAUUCAACCUGGGUUUGCAACACAUGAACUGAGGUCUUGAACAAUUCGUUCCAUUUGUCUGUGUCGGAAGAACUCUUUUUGUUUCUUUAAGCUUCGCCAUUGCAGCUGGAAGAAAUCGAUAGAGCUUAACAUCUUAAUUUUAACCACUAGUUAGUUUGGUUUUUGUUGUUGUGAUUCUGUGAUAAACUCAACAUGUUAGCGGGCUAAAUGUGAAUAUCACUAUUUGGUAUUAUCUAUGUAGUUAAGUGAUAUCCUUUACUCAAUUGUGAUUAUCGAGUGCCUAGUUCCGUGUCCUCACUAAGAAUGAAUAGCAUAAGUUAAAACAUGUAUCCAUUGUAUAAGUCUGUUCGAUCAGCUCCUGAUGCAUUGGUUUGGCUUUUCAUUAGUUCAUGUAGUCUAAAUCUAAGGAUCUUGACCGUUCCCACAAAAUUCUUAGAAUUCGAGGUAUGUCAUUUGGCAAAAUUCCAUGGCCCUCACAAAGUUGCAAACGCGUAGUUGCUUUAGGCGCGUUGUUUUAAUAAUAUUACCUUCCUAAAUUCGGGUGCGCAUUUAUGUGACCCAAAUCCAAAUCUCAACAAUGUUAAAAUAUGUCGAAAGUCACGGGUGCAUUUAUGUGACGUGGUUUGAGGCGUGUUUUAAUAACGUUGCAAUCUUCUUUAAUUAAUUAAAUAAAAGCGGUUAAAAAGUUAAGUUUGCACAUAGGUUCGUAAUUAUUUAGAAUCAGAUAAUUAAGCUGAAUAUAAUGGUUAAGCGACCGUGCUAGAACCACGGAACUCGGGAGUGCCUAACACCUUCUCCCGGGUUAACAGAAUUCCUUACCCGGAUUUCUGGUUCGCAGACUGUUAAACAGAGUCAACCUUUACCUUGACUCGAGAUUUGAACCGGUGACUUGGGAUACCAUAAAUCUCUCAGGUAGAGACUCUGAAUCUUAUAAAAUAAAUCCCGUUUCGAUUGUCCUUUAAUUGGAAAAACUCCUUUAUACACCAUCUCGGGGUGUAGGUAAAAAAAAGAGGUGUGACAGCGCUUGGGCCUUAGGAGCCCCUCCGGAGUCUGCACACCCAUAGUGGGCAUGGAUGAUAUUAUUGAGCGAUGGAUCUUCCCUGGACAUGAAUCUUGUCUGAAGCAUUGAUACUUGGAGAUGGAUCUUCUCCACAGGGCUAGAAGUAGCCUUCCUCAGUACUGAGUGACUGUUGUCAGUGAGGUAUAUAAAUUCCAGGAUGGAUCUUCCCUGGGCCGGAUGGCCAUAUACAGUUCGAGUGGUUGAGCAUUUGAGACUGGAAGUACAUGGUGCAUUUUGUACGUUCUGUGCAUUGGCAUGUAGAGAUUAGCUGAGAUUUAUACCUCACAUUGUUCAGAUCUGUAUUUAUUUUUCUGUUUGAGUUGUAUACAUGAAUUGAAAGCAUGCCUACUUUUCUGCACAAUUUACAUAUGUUUACCUGUUGAGGUUAAGUUUGUCACUACCUAUCAGUCCAUAGUUUGGACUUGUUACUUACUAAGUUGGAGUACUCACGUUACCUGAUGCAUCUUGUGUGCAGAUCUAGGUAUCUCUGGCCUUGAUAGCGGUUGCUGAUAUUUUCUAUUGCUGAUCAUUCGAGAUAGUAAGGUAGUUGCCCGGCGACUGCAACCCUGCUUUCUUCUUCUCUAUCUUCCAUAGUUGUAUUUUGGAUUUUCCCCAGACUAUGCUAGUAUUGUUGUUAGCAGAAUAGUUGUGGUAGUGGCUCAUGACUCAAUGACACCCCGAUGUUUGGGGCUUUACUUUCCGC
rnacentral:lncRNA from 1 species